UACACACGGACAUAUAUACUAUCAAUAAUAAUUAUAACUUAACAAUUAUUGAUAAAUUCUCCAAAUUCGCUCAAGCCUACCAGUUAACCAACAGAAACUCAAUUCUUGUUAUCAAAGCCUUUAAAACCUUCUUUUGCCAGUUUGGAAUACCCAAAAAAAUAAUACUUGAUCAGGGGGCCGAGUUCUCUGGUGCUAUUUUCAAAGACUUCUUGGCACAAUACGAAAUAGAACUUCAUAUUACUUCCUUUCAACAGUCCAGUAGUAACUCUGUAGUAGAACGUUUUCAUUCCACUCUAACAGAGAUUUAUAGAAUCAUUUUGAGUAAGAGAAAAGAAUUAAAAUUAACCAUUGAACACGAUGAGAUACUUUCCGAAACCAUAAUAACCUACAACAAUGCGAUCCACUCUAGUACAAAUUUAACUCCAUUCGAACUUUUUAGUGGCCGCUCUCACAUCUUUGAAAAAACAAUCAAAUUCGACAGUGAACACGAUUACUUACAAAAACUUAACGAAUUCCAAAUUGAACUAUACCCGACCUUAAAGAAACACAUGGCGGACGCAACGAAAAGACGAAUAGAUCGCUUAAACGAGAACAGGACAACCCCCCCUGACUUACCGGUUGGAACUUCUAUUUUUCGCAAGGAAAAUAGGAGAAAUAAAAUCACACCCCGUUUUAGUAAGCACAAGGUUUUACUGGACAGCGGAGUAACAUUACGAACAAUAAGGAAACAAAAACUACACAAGCAAAAAAUUGACCUUGGGAACAACUCAACGGCUCGUUAGCGAAAUAUUGGAUAAAGAUCAACCCCUUUUAAAAAUCAACCUGGGUAUAGCGAGAGUGGUAAAAUCAUUUAAAAUAUUUAAACAUGUAAUUCAUCUGAACAAUUAUGAGGAAUGGGCAGCUAAAAUACAGGAGGUGAUAGAAAACCUACCUGACGAACAGGGUUUUGAAGAUUUGAAACUCACCUUACAUCAAAAAUUAUCUCAAGUUCAACAAAGACUAAAUUCCUUGCUUCCCAACAAUGGGGGUAAUAGGCCCAGGAGAGGAUUAAUUAAUGGAUUAGGCCACAUAGUUAAAAUAGUUUCAGGGAAUAUGGACGCCUAUGACGAGGCAAAAAUAAACAAAGACUUAGAGGCCUUACGCAGUAAUUCCGAAACGAACCUUAUUUUCCAAAAUGAAACACGUAUAAGAUUUGAAGAAAUAACUAACCACAUUAACAGGGAGCAAGAGCUUAUAGGCAAUUUUGUAAAUUCAUACCAGAAUAAAAUCUUUAAACAAAUAGAUGAGGAACAGAAAAACAUUCAACUUAUCCAAUAUAUAGACAGGAUUAAUUUCAACAUAGAUUUAGUUUACAAUCACUUAAAUAAUAUAGCGGAAAGCCUACUAUUUGCCAAAUUAAAAAUAGUCCCGAAAUACUUAUUAAAUUCUAUGGAAAUGGAAAAAUUAAAAACUUUACAAGCAGAUCAGAAAGUAGAAGUUCAGUUGGAACACGAAUUAUAUAAUGUGCUUUCAUUAGAAUCCACUACUAUUAAUAAAACACUCAUAUUUAACUUUAAGUUCCAAUUCUGUCCCAACAAUCUUACAAUUUAUACCGACUCAUAGAACUACCACUUAACAAAACAAUGUUUGUAAACGUACCGAAUGUUAUUAUUAAGAAUGAUCACUAACCAUACAACAUAUAGACUGGUCAUUUCAUACAAGGCAUUUGGACACAAAAAAAAGUAUCGCGGGAGGUCCCCCGUGCUCACAGCAGCAGGUCCCCGCACUUCGUGUGCGUUCGGGUUUUUUGCUCUCUCAUUCUUUUUCUCAUUUUUAUGCUCGCGCACUCAUUGCACGAGUUCAGUCGUUCAGUCGCAGAGAGGCGCUUUUUGAAGAAGGCUGCCCUACGCUUGAAUUCGUCUUUGUAUGUAUGCGUGAUCACACAUUCUCAAACACUGGAGCAUGUGUGCGUUUAUUUCAUUUCGGCGCAUCAAGAAUAUUUUGUCUUUUGCCACUUUUCAAACUUGGUACCCUAAGAAUAUGGGCGUAUUUACUAUUGGGUUAUGAUAAAAAUAUGAAUAUUAUAUGUUAUAAUAUAUUUUUUUAAUAUUUCAGCAUACAUUUUAUUUUUGUUUGCAAAUUCAAAUCAGUGGUAGCAGUAAAAUGUUUUACAUAUAUGUAUGUAUUCGAAUUUAUAGAAAUCAGUCCACUGAGAUGGGAACAGGGCAUAUCGCAGUCGUGUCACUUGAAACACCGACUGCUCUUCAGUGGUUGAGAAAACUUCAAACUAAAUCAGCUCUUGUCGAUGUUUUGCGAGCGGUUGGUGCCCGCAUACCCUACCGACGAUUGCUUUUAAGGGGAGCGGGCUUUUAGGAUACUUGUUUUAAAUGUUAUGUUUAGUGAUCUUUGGUUGAUUUAUUUUUUAAUGAUUCGCAGUGUAAUUUUAAUUGUCUUUAACAAUUGUUAUUGUCUUUAAACAAUUCUUUUUAAUCCAAGAUAUUGGU